CUCAGUUCCUCAUGGGCUGUUGGACUGAGGGCCUUCUUCAUUUACUUGCCAUGUGAGCCUUUCCACAGGGCGGCUCACAAUGUGGCAGCUUGCUUCAUCAGGGCAAGCAGGAGAGAAGAGUCAGAGAGGGAGCAGGAGCGAGAUAGAGCCCACCGUCUUUUACAACCUAAUCUCAUAAGUGUUAUCCCAUCACUUUUGCCUGUUAUAUUCUUUAGAAGCAGGUCAAUAGGUGCCACCCACAUUCAGGUGGAGGAGAUGACACAGGCCAUGAAUACCAGGAGGUGGACAGUGGACAUCAUCAGGAGCCAUUUAGAAACUUCUACCAUGGAGGAAAAUUUGCAAAGUCAUGUAGCCAAAGCACGCACAGAAGAGGAAAUCUUGACCUGAAAUGACCGUGGAAUCAAGGAUUCUCCCCAUGGAAUCAAAGGACCGGGACAUGACCAGAAAGUCGGACUCUCAUCAGAGGCCAGGGGUUGUGGAAACGUGGUUUUUCUGCAGCAACAUUCCAGCACCCAUUUUUCCUGCUAUGAAGAGGCGGCUGUGGUGGCAGCUUCUUGUCGGAGUUCUCCUGGUCCCUGACUGGCGACUAUGGAGGUCUAUGUUAAAUCAGCAGUUCCAGCAGAGGGUCAGAGGUAGUCGUUCCACAGCGGGCCAGUUUUCCCAUGUUCUCGGAGUCACCCCUGGAGGCCUUAUCCCAGAGCCAGCUCUCCCCUCCUUCUGCUCUUUCCAGCGAUGUUGUAAGCACUGAUACUUGGUAAGUUCUUUCCUACCCAAAAUAUCUACAGUGCUUUCUAAUUCCUGCGCUAAACUUUGAAUGAUGCUGUAGUGUAAGUGCCUGACAAUUAGCUUUUUUUGUUGUAAUGUAAGUGCCUGACACUAAGCUUUUGGUUGCCAUUUCACAGACAUCCAUCUCAAAUAAACAUAUUGCCAGCUACACAACCAGAUGAGCCAGGCAGCCCCAGCCAUGGAUUUCCCCUUUUAGAAAGCCCUGAGUGACCUAGAUAACUGACCACUUGAGUGACCCUGAUUCCCUUCCUGUGCUUUAAUUCCUGCUCUUAUGUUUUAAAUUCACGCAUAAAGAGAGAACCCAUGAAACCCUUGGCACCCCACUCUCCACCCCAGUAAAGGCAGAACCCAAGGUCUGUGCUCUCUCCUUACCCAUGACCUCGGUGUGUGGCUUUCGGGCAUGCCGUGUACCCUCCAGGGCUUGUGAGUAAUAAGCCUUGUUUUCUCAAAGUUCCCUGUUGGUUGUUGU
rnacentral:lncRNA from 1 species